UACGUAGGGGGCUAGCGUUGUCCGGAAUUAUUGGGCGUAAAGAGCGUGUAGGCGGCCCGACAAGUCCGCUGUGAAAGCCCAGGGCUCAACCCUGGGAUGCCGGUGGAAACUGUCGGGCUAGAGUCCGGAAGAGGCGAGUGGAAUUCCUGGUGUAGCGGUGAAAUGCGUAGAUAUCGAGAGGAACACCUGCGGCGAAGGCGGGUAGCUGGGCCGACACUGACGCUGAGGCGCGAAAGCAUGGGGAGCGAACAGG
rnacentral:rRNA from 1 species